UCCCGGUUAGUAUAUCGGUUAGUACACGCGCCUGUCAGCUCAUCAGCACCUCGCGCGAGAGCGGAGUUCGAUUCUCCGACUGGGAG
rnacentral:tRNA from 1 species